AACGUAGGAGACAAACGUUAUCCGGAGUUACUGGGCGUAAAGGGCGUGUAGGUGGUAAUGUAAGUCUGGCGUGAAAUUUUUCGGCUUAACCGGGAAAGGUCGUCGGAUACUGCAUGACUAGAGGACGGUAGAGGCGUGUGGAAUUCCGGGGUGUAGUGGUGAAAUGCGUAGAGAUGUGGAGGAACACCGAUGGCGCAAGGCAGCCCCCCUGGGCGUAACACUGACGCUCAUG
rnacentral:rRNA from 1 species